rnacentral:tRNA from 1 species
GGAGAAGUACCCAAGUGGCUGAAGGGUCCGCUCUCGAAAAGCGGUAGGAUGCUAUAAAAAGUCGUCGCGAGGGUUCAAAUCCCUCCUUCUCCGCCA